rnacentral:rRNA from 1 species
UACGUAGGUGGCAAGCGUUGUCCGGAUUUACUGGGCGUAAAGGGAGCGUAGGCGGUUUUUUAAGUGGGAUGUGAAAUCCCCGGGCUUAACCCGGGAACCGCAUUUCAAACUGGAAGACUAGAGUGCAGGAGAGGAAAGUGGAAUUCCAAGUGUAGCGGUGAAAUGCGUAGAGAUUUGGAGGAACGCCAGUGGCGAAGGCGACUUUCUGGACUGUAACUGACGCUGAGGCUCGAGAGCGUGGGGAGCAAACAGG